GAUGAACGCUGGCGGCGUGCCUAAUACAUGCAAGUCGAGCGAACGGACGAGAAGCUUGCUUCUCUGAUGUUAGCGGCGGACGGGUGAGUAACACGUGGAUAACCUACCUAUAGACUGGGAUAACUUCGGGAAACCGGAGCUAAUACCGGAGAAUAUUUUGAACCGCAUGGGUCAAAAGUGAAAGACGGUCUUGCUGUCACUUAUAGAUGGAUCCGCGCUGCAUUAGCUAGUUGGUAAGGUAACGGCUUACCAAGGCAACGAUGCAUAGCCGACCUGAGAGGGUGAUCGGCCACACUGGAACUGAGACACGGUCCAGACUCCUACGGGAGGCAGCAGUAGGGAAUCUUCCGCAAUGGGCGAAAGCCUGACGGAGCAACGCCGCGUGAGUGAUGAAGGUCUUCGGAUCGUAAAACUCUGUUAUUAGGGAAGAACAUAUGUGUAAGUACCUGUGCACAUCUUGACGGUACCUAAUCAGAAAGCCACGGCUAACUACGUG
rnacentral:rRNA from 1 species